UUUUGUGCAGAGGUCCACACUAUGUAUGCUUCGCCUGCACAACGCUAUCGCACCCUACAGCCCUCAGCCCUCCCCGGUCAAUGCACCUUCCCAUUUAAUUUCUUCGUCACAUUUUCUUUGUAUAUUUAGCCGGCCUUAUUCACGCAAUCUCUGAACCAUUUUUUGCCCAGAAUAUUUGAUAAUAUCGCCGUCUGGAUUUUUUUCUGUUGGGUUUGGCGUUGUUUCAGUACACUGCAACUGGCUACUGAGUCAGAUUUUUCGAGUUAGUAUGUGGUGUACACUUUGAUCUUUACUUGCCUUGAAAGUUCACUUCGCGGGGGUUUAUGGGUCAGAACCUUAAUGUUGCCCAAACAUGCCGCUGUAUUGCGUGCGCAUGCGUUGAAACAACGCCCAGCCGGACGGCGAUUAUGUUUUACUGCACAGCGGUUCGGGGAAUAUGCCAUGCACUAUCCUAUCGCAAUAUGCUUUUUAUUUCCACUCGAGUAGAGACUAGUCUUCGCGCUGGGUAUGUGUAGUGCUGUACGCAAAGCUUCCCUGCAUUUGAAAUGGUCGCUUUGGUGGUGGAUGCAUUCUCCACAGCCCCGAUUGUCACCUUUAGGCUUUAAUCAAGUCGCGUUUCCCUAAGCGUGCUGUCUAAAAAAAAACUGAGACCAGGCGACCUAGAAGUGACUGCGCACAGCCAUCUACUGUACAUGUACAUGUUAUGUUGGGCGUAGGUCGUGAUUCGUCACAGAAGUGCUGAGAACUGAGCGCUGUUGUAAAUUCAAGUUGCCGACACAUUGCCGACACGUAAAAAGGAAAAUCUGCGAGACUCAUACCCGUGACCGUUUCUCGGCGCGUACGAAGUGAAAGCACAGUGCUACAACUGCACAUACCUUGAUUUGGGUCAAUUGUCCGACAGUCCGGCAGGAUGUGCUGACCCGUUCAUCGCCGAUGGUAUCCAGCAGAUACCGUGCAGCGGCCAGUGCGUGAAGACAAGAGUUGUUUCCGAAGCCUCGGGUUUGAUUCCAGCUAUCACCGCGACAGUGCGCUCGUGUUCCUCAUCAGAUUUCCCGUGCGUUGCUGUGGAAGGAGUUCAGGUAGACGGGGGGACCGUUUCAACUUGGUGCUGCAACGGGGCGCUGUGCAACGGUCAAGGCAACCUCGGAUUCAGCGGGCCUCUCACUGUGUGCUCCCUGUUGACAGCGGCGCUAUUUUUCCGUUAGCUUCUUGAGGUAGUACAGUCCUUGGCUGCUCCCAGGACUUUAGCCAUUGACGUUUAUGGAUGAAAACUGUCAGUGUGUUAACAUAAUUAGUCGCAUCUUCAAAUAUUAUGGGAGACCUUCGAGAGUCUUGAUGGGCAGCGAAUGAAUACCGGCCGCACCCCGUGACUGACCCACCAUUGCUUGCGUCAUUUUGACAAGCGCACAUUAGCUCGAGCGUGACGCAAAGAAAUUGUGGAGCAGUUGCCUUGGACGGGACUAUUUGCCGUUACCAACACAAGCGUCUCAAAAGUCUUACGCACUGGACCUCGAAGACGCAGUUAAGCGGGUCGCACGUCAUGGAAGGAACUACAUUUUGUUCCGAGGAAAGGGGACUUCACACGGGAACAUUUUUUAAAAUUCUUGUUGAAUAUUCAAAACACCAAACGGGGGUAGUGACUGAUAGAGUCAAUUUUAUACGGGAACUUUUGUCUGCAGUAGUAACCGUCCCAAAAUUGUUAAUAUUCAGAAUAAGCUUUAUGAAGAAAGCUUCAAGAAGAUUAUACUAGCCUCUGACUCAAAGUAAACUCCAACACACCUCACACGAGCAUUCAUACGUGUGCAUUCGCAUGGUUUAAAGUGUAGCUGCAGUGACUUUUUCUUACAUUUUCCCUGCAGCUUUGCCCUCUUCUUUAUUGUAAGAAAUCUCUGCCAAUUUCCCAAUUGAUUAAGUACAUUGCAAAGGACACUUUCAUAAAGACUAAAACUUAUCCAUGCUUUCCCAAGCUGAGGGCGCUGUUGAUUUCGUCCAGAGAAGACACAGUUAAUGCACAUGCCCUUUUUGUUUAAAAAUUUGAACCAAAAUUUUAGUUACUGAACACAUUUUGAAGAAAGGGAUUGGUGUUUUCUUGAAGAUGUGUGCAUAAACGACAAUGAAAUAACAUGUAUUUGGAAACAGCGUAAAAAAAACUAAAAGGGCAGAAAAUUACCGGUUGAAAUAGUAAAACAAACGUUUAAAAUACGGUUAGCCGGGACACCAAGGUGGCAGGUAACUUCCGAAGAUUUGUAGAAAAAAUUGAUUGCAGCUACCCUUCUUAUUACGUGCUGUACACUUUCCUGCAAUAGAGCAGUAAACCAGGGAAGAUCAUACAUGUAUCUCUAUGUCGAUAACUUUACCAGGGAGAAAAAUACGUAGCCAUGAAGUGUAAGGUACAUGUAAGUCCAUGCUUACUGCUUGCUUUACACUCUAAACCUUUAGGUCAGUGCGCACGUAGUAUUGUGCUUAAGUGUUGAUUUCCUAUGUAGGAGCCUCCAAAUUAGUUUCAAUUUCAGUGUUAAGAAAAGUUUUCACCUACCCUUCUAAAAGGUUUUUACUACCCCCCAAGCAUGUAAAAAGUCAUGGUUACGGUCGCAAACAGCGUCAAGACAAGACGGGUCCAGUGUGUCUUCUUCGUUUCUGCUUUAGUAAUGUAGACCAAACGUAGGUAGUAUCAUAAGCCUAAUUUUUCAGAUUUCAGUCUAACUGGUAUGUCUGAUUUUGUUGAAUACCUAGAUUUAAGGAGAACAUAAUACAAUGGUACUUCAUUGGUACGAUCACUAUGAAAAGCGUCUGGAA